GCGCCCGCAACUCUCUCUCUCUCCGUAUGUGUGCAUGUAGCUAGCGUUUUUUUAAUUUUCUAAGAAUGAUGCCUCCUGCUGGGGACAUGUUGGGCUCGAAACACAUAUGAUAGCUAGGAACCAAUAUGAUAGCUAGCCCUCUUGCCCACGGGCCACAACACUCGUCUCUUUCCGUGCCUGUAUAUAUCCUAAUUUCUUUAAUUUUUUGGAUAA
rnacentral:lncRNA from 1 species